CCUACGGGAGGCAGCAGUGAGGAAUAUUGGUCAAUGGACGAGAGUCUGAACCAGCCAAGUAGCGUGAAGGAUGACUGCCCUAUGGGUUGUAAACUUCUUUUAUAUGGGAAUAAAAUGUUCCACGUUUGGGAUUUUGUAUGUACCAUAUGAAUAAGGAUCGGCUAACUCCGUUCCAGCAGCCGCGGUAAUACGGAGGAUCCGAGCGUUAUCCGGAUUUAUUGGGUUUAAAGGGAGCGUAGGUGGAUUGUUAAGUCAGUUGUGAAAGUUUGCGGCUCAACCGUAAAAUUGCAGUUGAAACUGGCAGUCUUGAGUACAGUAGAGGUGGGCGGAAUUCGUGGUGUAGCGGUGAAAUGCGUAGAUAUCACGAAGAACUCCGAUUGCGAAGGCAGUUCACUGGACUGCAACUGACACUGAGGCUCGAAAGUGUGGGUAUCAAACAGGAUUAGAUACCCUUGUAGUC
rnacentral:rRNA from 1 species